rnacentral:lncRNA from 1 species
AGGAGGCUUUACUGGAAGAAUAUUAUAUUACCUUUAAUAAACACUAUGAAAAUGUACAUUUUCACGUGACUUCAACUAAAAAACUACUAAGGUAAUGCUAUUAUCUUUUCCCCAAAAGCUCUUGUUCUAAAUAUUUAAUUCCUACAUGUAAUAGAUUACAUUACUUCUUUACAGCCUGUUUAUGAAUAUUUUUAGAUAACACAAAAAUUUGAUUAGGUAAAUAUCAAACACGUUUCUCAACAGAUUGUCUAAUUUUGUACUGAAGAAAUAUGAACUCUGUAGAGAAUACUUUCUUUUAACAAAUUUAAGUGACGCCAUUUUUUACCCUCCUAACUCUCAAAAAAUAAAUGGUAGGAGAGAUAUACCUAAUGCUAAAUGCCGAGUUAAUGGGUGCAGCACACCAACAUGGCACAUGUAUACAUAUGUAACAAACCUGCACAUUGUGCACAUGUACCCUAAAACUUAAAGUAUAAUAAUAACAAAAUUUAAAAAAAUAAAUAAAUGGUAGAAGGAGCUGCCUAGCUCUACUUGUAUCUGUUCUGUUUUAUAUAAUAUGGUUGCAUCUAACUGUUUUAAAAAAAGUUCUGUUCUUCAAAAAAAUUUUAAGCUAUGAAAAUCACUGAUUAAGUCAAACCCUCAUUUUACAAAA